rnacentral:misc_RNA from 1 species
AAGUCGUAACAAGGUUUCCGUAGGUGAACCUGCGGAAGGAUCAUUAGUGUUAAACCGUUGUUUGUGUGCAGUUUCGGCUGCACAUAGACAACAAAUUACUCACACUUGUGCAUAUGUUAGCAAUAUUUAUGGUAGUUUAAAUGGAUAGCUUGAUUCUUUUUUAAAGGAUCAGGCCUUUCAUGUCUCUGUCAAUCUUUGCUCUUGGAGUAAAGAAAGACGAGUGGCUGCCAGAUUUGUUGUUUUAUAUACUCUUAUUUUAUAAAUAUAUCGUCUGAAUUUUAUAAAAUGAAAUUUAUUUCA